rnacentral:rRNA from 1 species
GACGAACCGUGCGAACGUUGUUCGGAAUCACUGGGCUUAAAGGGCGCGUAGGCGGACCGGCGAGUCAGGGGUGAAAGCCCGCGGCCCAACCGCGGAAGUGCCCCUGAUACCGCCGGCCUUGAGGGGGAUAGGGGCGCGCGGAACUUCGGGUGGAGCGGUGAAAUGCGUAGAUAUCCGGAAGAACACCUGAGGCGAAGGCGGCUUGCUGGGCAUGAUCUGACGCUGAGGCGCGAAAGCGUGGGGAGCAAACAGG